rnacentral:rRNA from 1 species
UACGUAGGUUCCGAGCGUUAUCCGGAUUUACUGGGCGUAAAGCGCGUUCAGGCGGUUUGUCAAGUCGGGCAUGAAAUCUCUCGGCUCAACCGGGAGAGGUUGUCCGAUACUGUUAGACUGGAGGGCAGUAGAGGGUGGUGGAAUUCCGGGUGUAGUGGUGAAAUGCGUAGAGAUCCGGAGGAACACCAGUGGCGAAAGCGGCCACCUGGACUGCACCUGACGCUGAAACGCGAAAGCUAGGGGAGCGAACGGG